rnacentral:rRNA from 1 species
CCUACGGGUGGCUGCAGUCGAGAAUCUUCGGCAAUGCGCGCAAGCGUGACCGAGCGUCGCCGUGUGUGGGAUGAAGGCCUUCGGGUUGUAAACCACUGUCGUAGGGGAGGAAAUCAACUGGGGUUCUCCCCAGUAGUUGACCUAUCCUAGGAGGAAGGACGGGCUAAGUUCGUGCCAGCAGCCGCGGUAAUACGAACCGUCCAAACGUUAUUCGGAAUUAUUGGGCUUAAAGGGUAUGUAGGCGGCGCUGGAAAUCCCUCGGCUCAACCGAGGAAUUGGGCCCGAUACUGCAGUGCUUGAGGGAGACAGAGGUAAGCGGAACUGAUGGUGGAGCGGUGAAAUGCGUUGAUAUCAUCAGGAACACCGGUGGCGAAAGCGGCUUACUGGGUCUCUUCUGACGCUGAGAUACGAAAGCUAGGGGAGCGAAGGGGAUUAGAUACCCUUGUAGUC